UCUAAUGCCAAAAACAAUCUCAAAAGCAGUAAGACACUGAUCUCAGAAGCUAAGCAAGGUCAGGCCUGGUUAGUACUUGGAUGGGAGAUCACCUAGGAAGACCAGGUGCUAUAGGCG
rnacentral:rRNA from 1 species